GUAAAUAUAGUUUAAACAAAACAUUAGAUUGUGAGUCUAAUAAUAGAAGAUCAUAUCCUCUUAUUUACC
rnacentral:tRNA from 1 species